CCAUGCAGCAUUCCUUAUGUCUUCUCUGGUCUGAAGGUCUUUGUAAGCUGGGGAGGGAAGACAAGCACGAAGCUUAGAGGUAACUCCUUUUUCCUUCUGCACAAGAAUAGCUCCUCUAAAAAGUGUUCUAGGGAAUAAUUAGGAGGCUGCAAACACUGGGAAGGAAAGGUCAGUUGCUCUCCAUGAGAAGGAAAAGCUCCCAAACCAAGGCAAACAGAAGGAACUGGGGAAGAGAGAGAAUGUCUUGGACACAGCUCAAGAGCCCUCAAUCACCAAAAACUGUGCAGAAGGACAAGAAAUCUGAUAUAUUUAACUGAUUCUCUACAAUGUCUGACGGGGGGGACCCCAAGCUCAAAUGUUCUUUUCUUCCAUCUCAUAAAAUCACUUCCUUCAAUUUACCUUUCUUUGAUAGCCCCACACCAGCCACUGUGGGGAAAUCUAAUUCCAACUCAACCUUCUCCUGAAACACCAAAAUAUUUCUCUGACAAACUAAAAAUGUGGUAUUUAUACCACAUAUAUUUAUUUAUAAGCUGGAAAUGUAAACCUUUUCCCGCCUCAGAUGCCAACUUUUCACCCUUAAUUACUGAUCAGGAGAGCCAGAAGACAGCUAUCAACCUCCAGCUCAAAGCUGUCUUCCACAUAUCAAAGGUUUGUGACAAUCACUCAAAUUGAAAAGAAAAAAAAAAUAGGGAAGAAAAAUCUCAGUUUCCUUUGGGAAGAAUAUCCUCAUGGACACGCCUGUCUGCAUUGCACAAAAAUAGUUCACACUAGCGGUGUUUUACAACAAUCAACCUUUUAAUCCCAGUGUCUGAAAAUAACCCAGUGAACUGGUUCACCCCGUGGAAGCAGGAUGGAGGAAAGGAAAAGUGUUCCACAGCAGAGAAACAACCACCAGAGAAGAACAACUGCAGCUGAGAUGACCUUCAGCGUUAAAGGAGGAGUCUGUAAACACCUUAUUGGUUAUUUAUCGAAAAUGGUGCCUUCCCUGGCCCUGGGCAAACACACAAACAUGAGGCUGUGCUGAAAGCCAAGCAGCUAUUCCUGAGUGCAGGCAUUUGAAGGGCAUUCCAUGAUAAGGCUGUUGCUGGAGUGGAGCUAUCUCUGAUCUCAGCCGGAGCAGGCGAGGCGCAGGUGACUGCAGUUGUGUUGUCACAUCAAGUGCCACAGCAACACAAGCUGUCCCAGAGGAGUGGGGGGGAAACCCACCUAAUAAAUCUGAGUGGUUUUAAAAAGCUCCCUCAAAGUAAGCACUAAAUGCUCAGUGGACACCAGAGACAGAACUCAAUCCCAGUCCUGCAACACUCAAUUUUCAGCUCAGACCUCUAAACCAUCAUCAUUUCCUCACCUUUAUUAAAGAGAAUUAGCAGACUAAUAAUCCUCUUCUAUGAGGAUUAUUGUUUGCAGCAAACUUGAAGAGAUAAAUAAUCACAAUGCUUUUCCUGUGAACCAGUUUUAUCCUCAGUAAGAGUAAGCUGGAGUUACAGGGAUAACACUAAAAAGCAAAAAGCAAAUUCCUUUGCUAUUAGGAGAAUCUCAUGACUUGAAUGUUAAACUGCACCUAAAACUGGAGGGAUAGUUAAUUGUAAUACAAUGAAAUGAGUAAUACUUUACAUUUAUGUAAAAUCUUUCACCCAGCAACUGUAAAGUUCCUCAUGAGCAUUGACUAACAAAUCACAACUAUCCACCUAAAUAUAUACCUUAGUUAGAAUAAAGGCAGGAGCUAAGUUUAUUAAAGCAGAUAUUCACUGCACCCACCCUGAGAUGCAAGGGCCUGAUUUUUAAUCAAUAUCCUCAGAGAAGCCCUAAAAUACCCUUGCCAUUCCAGACACUCAGAAAUCAAGAAGCCCUGAUUACUGGUUCACUUGUGUGGGCAGAAUAUACCCAAAAUUAGCUCUGGAAGAGAAGGGACUGAAUUCAUGUCUUUGGACUGUCAGUUGUGAGCAUCAGCUUGACUCUGGUGGUUCUUAUCCUACAAAUAUUAACUAUGAGCUUAGCUUCUUUCAUUGCUACAAAGAUUGGGCUGUGAACAGAAAAGGAUAACACUGAAUAGUUUGCUUAGAUUAGAUUAAAAAUGUCAGUGGAAACACUUCUAUCCCACUUAGCUUCUGCUUCAGCACAAAAUAUAACCUGGGUGGGAGAUAUCGGGUCAAGUAUUUACAUUUUGUAGUAACCCAUAUCUGCCUGGAGGAGAAAGAAAACAACCUGUCCUCAGUUUGGCAGUUCUUGAUCUAAACAAAGUUUAUUUGAAACUGAAAUAACCCCAAAACAUCCACAUAAAACCUCACAACAU